UCUUCCGCAAUGGACGAAAGUCUGACGGAGCAACGCCGCGUGAGUGAUGAAGGUUUUCGGAUCGUAAAACUCUGUUGUUAGGGAAGAACAAGUACCGUUCGAAUAGUGCGGUACCUUGACGGUACCUAACCAGAAAGCCACGGCUAACUACGUGCCCGCAGCCGCGGUAAUACGUAGGUGGCAAGCGUUGUCCGGAAUUAUUGGGCGUAAAGCGCGCGCAGGCGGUUUCUUAAGUCUGAUGUGAAAGCCCCCGGCUCAACCGGGGAGGGUCAUUGGAAACUGGGGAACUUGAGUGCGGAAGAGGGGAGUGAAAUUCCACGUGUGACGGUGAAAUGCGUAGAGAUGUGGAGGAACACCAGUGGCGAAGGCGACUCUCUGGUCUGUAACUGACGCUGAGGCGCGAAGGCGUGGGGAGCGAACAG
rnacentral:rRNA from 1 species